rnacentral:rRNA from 1 species
GAUUAACGCUGGCGGCGUGCAUAACACAUGCAAGUCGAACGAUGAAACUUAGUAGACUUCUUCGGAAAGACACUAAGCGGCUUAGUGGCGAACGGGUGAGUAACGCGUGAGUAACCUGCCUUACACAAGGGGAUAGCCUUUGGAAACGAAGAAUAAUACCCUAUAAAACCAUUAAAGCACAUGCUAGAAUGGUCAAAGUGAUAGCGGUGUAGGAUGGACUUGCGUCUGAUUAGCUAGUUGGUGAGAUAAAAGCUCACCAAGGCAACGAUCAGUAGCCGGCUUGAGAGAGUGUACGGCCACAUUGGGACUGAGACACGGCCCAGACCCCUACGGGAGGCAGCAGUGGGGAAUUUUGCACAAUGGGGGAAACCCUGAUGCAGCGACGCCGCGUGAUUUAGAAGGCCUUCGGGUUGUAAAAAUCUUUUGUAUAGGAAGAAAAUGACAGUACUAUACGAAUAAGGUCCGGCUAAUUACGUG